GGCAAGAUGACCGAGCGGUCGAAGGCGCUAACUUCGGGUGCUAGUUACGCAAGUGGCGUGGGUUCGAAUCCCACUCUUGUCA
rnacentral:tRNA from 1 species